rnacentral:rRNA from 1 species
CCUACGGGUGGCAGCAGUGGGGAAUAUUGCACAAUGGGGGAAACCCUGAUGCAGCAACGCCGCGUGAGUGAAGAAGUAUUUCGGUAUGUAAAGCUCUAUCAGCAGGGAAGAAGAUGACGGUACCUGAAUAAGAAGCCCCGGCUAACUACGUGCCAGCAGCCGCGGUAAUACGUAGGGGGCAAGCGUUAUCCGGAUUUACUGGGUGUAAAGGGAGCGCAGACGGCAGUGCAAGUCUGGAGUGAAAGCCCGGGGCACAACCCCGGAACUGCUCUGGAAACUGUGCGGCUAGAGUACUGGAGGGGCAGGCGGAAGUCCUAGUGUAGCGGUGAAAUGCGUAGAUAUUAGGAGGAACACCAGUGGCGAAGGCGGCUUACUGGACAGUAACUGACGUUGAGGCUCGAAAGCGUGGGGAGCAAACAGGAUUAGAUACCCCUGUAGUC